AUUACAAUCCAAAUAUUAUAGAAUGUUACGAUAAAGUGUAAUAUUUUUGUCAGUUUAAUAUCUGAUAUGUGGGUCAUCGACCCCACUUGAUAUUAAUUUUAUUUUUUAUGAGGAAAAAUCCAUUAUCUUGGCUUGAUGAUGUGGUUCUUCAUGCAUCGUAUUGGACUUCCACUAUUGUURCUACAACUUACGCACUCCUC